UACGGAGGAUGCGAGCGUUAUCCGGAUUUAUUGGGUUUAAAGGGUGCGUAGGCGGACGCUUAAGUCAGGGGUAAAAUUGCGGGGCUCAACCUCGUCGAGCCGUUGAAACUGGGUGCCUUGAGUGGGCGAGAAGUACGCGGAAUGCGUGGUGUAGCGGUGAAAUGCAUAGAUAUCACGCAGAACUCCGAUUGCGAAGGCAGCGUACCGGCGCCCAACUGACGCUGAAGCACGAAGGCGUGGGUAUCGAACAGG
rnacentral:rRNA from 1 species